rnacentral:rRNA from 1 species
UACGUAGGGUGCGAGCGUUGUCCGGAAUUAUUGGGCGUAAAGAGCUCGUAGGCGGUGUGUCACGUCGGCCGUGAAAACCUGCAGCUUAACUGUGGGCGUGCGGUCGAUACGGGCAUCACUGGAGUUCGGCAGGGGAGACUGGAAUUCCUGGUGUAGCGGUGAAAUGCGCAGAUAUCAGGAGGAACACCGGUGGCGAAGGCGGGUCUCUGGGCUGACACGUGACGCUCAUGCACGAAAGCGUGGGGAGCAAACAGG